rfam:Nicotiana attenuata strain TT scaffold02855, whole genome shotgun sequence.
UGGACAGAUUAUUGUAUUUGACUGUAUUCACGGCGUAAAAUAGGGGAUUACAUUGUUUUUAAAAUGGAAAGUGAAUCAAUUAACAUAAUAGACUCCU